rnacentral:rRNA from 1 species
UACGUAGGCAGCAAGCGUUGUUCGGAGUUACUGGGCGUAAAGGGUGUGUAGGCGGUUGCUUAAGUUUGGUGUGAAAUCUCCCGGCUCAACUGGGAGGGUGCGCUACAAACUGUCUGACUAGAGUGCGGGAUGGGAAAGUGGAAUUCCUGGUGUAGCGGUGAAAUGCGUAGAUAUCAGGAGGAACACCGGUGGUGUAGACGGCUUUCUGGACCGUAACUGACGCUGAGACACGAAAGCGUGGGUAGCAAACAGG